AGGGCUUGAGAAAUGUAACUGGUGCACUGCUGAUACUAGAAAUCCAGUCUGUAGAAUUAGAGUUUAGACAUAAUUAUACAGAGAAAAAGGUAUUCAACUUGAUCGCCGCAAAUAUUAGGAUUCAACUUGAUCACUGCAAAUCUUAGGUUUUCAGAAUUUAGGGAAGAAUUAAUGAGUUGAAGAAAUUUGAAGAUUAGGUGAGGGAAGGCAAGGAUGAGAAGGUUCUGGCAAGAACUUCACUGAAUCCAUGGGGUCAUGCUUGCAAAUAGUAUUCACUGUUGGCCAUUUAUGGGAAGUGUAUGUGCCCCGAAGAAAUUAAGUAUUCACUUCUUAAUACCACAGUUUUGAGUCAUUGAUACUGUCCCAUGCUGGUUUAUUACUUCCUAAUGUUAACAUCUCAAGUCUCUUUGAUGAUUCAUGUGAUUGAUGGUGUUUGAAAUUGAUUCUCCCAUUUAACUGGAUUUAACAAAUUAAACUUUUUCAGAGCUUGACGGCUGUGCAAUU
rnacentral:misc_RNA from 1 species